rnacentral:tRNA from 1 species
GGGGUUGUGGCUCAGAAGUAGAGCACUUGCCUACCAUGCGUGAGGCACUGGGUUCGAUCCUCAGCACCA